GACGAACGCUGGCGGCGUGCUUAACACAUGCCAGUCGAACGGUGAAGCGCCUUCCUUUUUGGUGGGUGUGGAUGAGUGGCGAACGGGUGAGUAACACGUGAGUAACCUGCCCCCUUCUUCUGGAUAACCGCAUGAAAGUGUGGCUAAUACGGGAUAUUCUGGGUCUGUCGCAUGAUGGGUCUGGGAAAGAUAUUGUUUCGGUGGGGGAUGGGCUCGCGGCCUAUCAGCUUGUUGGUGGGGUGAUGGCCUACCAAGGCGGUGACGGGUAGCCGGCCUGGGAGGGUGGGCGGUCACACUGGGACUGAGACACGGACCAGACUCCUACGGGAGGCAGCAGUGGGGAAUAUUGCACAAUGGGCGCAAGCCUGAUGCAGCGACGCCGCGUGAGGGAUGGAGGCCUUCGGGUUGUGAACCUCUUUCGCCAGUGAAGCAGGCCUGCCUCGUUUGUGGGUGGGUUGACGGUAGCUGGAUAAGAAGCGCCGGCUAACUACGUG
rnacentral:rRNA from 1 species